CCUACGGGAGGCUGCAGUGGGGAAUAUUGGGCAAUGGGCGCAAGCCUGACCCAGCAACGCCGCGUGAAGGAAGAAGGCUUUCGGGUUGUAAACUUCUUUUGUCAGGGAAGAGUAGAAGACGCUACCUGACGAAUAAGCCAAGGCUAACUACGUGCCAGCAGCCGCGGUAAUCCGUCGGUGGCAAGCGUUGUCCGGAUUUACUGGGUGUAAAGGUCGUGUUGCCGGGAUGACAAGUCAGGUGGGAAAGCCUGCGGCUUAACCGGAGAACUGCAUUUGAUACUGUUUAGCUUGAGUACUGGAGAGGCAGACGGAAUGCCUGGUGUAGCGGUGAAAUGCGUAGAUAUUAGGAGGAACACCAGUUGCGAAGGCGUUCUGCGGGACCGCAAUUGACGGUGAGGCGCGAAAGCGUGGGGAGCAAACAGGAUUAGAUACCCCUGUAGUC
rnacentral:rRNA from 1 species